CCUACGGGGGGCAGCAGUGGGGAAUAUUGGACAAUGGGGGAACCCUGAUCCAGCCAUGCCGCGUGUGUGAAGAAGGCCCUCGGGUUGUAAAGCACUUUCAGUGAGGAAGAACGCCUGGUGGUUAAUACCCAUCAGGAAAGACAUCACUCACAGAAGAAGCACCGGCUAACUCCGUGCCAGCAGCCGCGGUAAUACGGAGGGUGCGAGCGUUAAUCGGAAUUACUGGGCGUAAAGCGCGCGUAGGUGGCUUGAUAAGCCGGUUGUGAAAGCCCCGGGCUCAACCUGGGAACGGCAUCCGGAACUGUCAAGCUAGAGUGCAGGAGAGGAAGGUAGAAUUCCCGGUGUAGCGGUGAAAUGCGUAGAGAUCGGGAGGAAUACCAGUGGCGAAGGCGGCCUUCUGGACUGACACUGACACUGAGGUGCGAAAGCGUGGGUAGCAAACAGGAUUAGAUACCCCGGUAGUC
rnacentral:rRNA from 1 species